AACGAACGCUGGCGGCAUGCCUAACACAUGCAAGUCGAACGAGACCUUCGGGUCUAGUGGCGCACGGGUGCGUAACGCGUGGGAACCUGCCUUUAGGUUCGGAAUAACUCAGAGAAAUUUGAGCUAAUACCGGAUAAUGUCUUCGGACCAAAGAUUUAUCGCCUUUAGAUGGGCCCGCGUAAGAUUAGCUAGUUGGUGGGUAAAGGCCUACCAAGGCGACGUUCUUUAGCUGGUCUGAGAGGAUGAUCAGCCACACUGGGACUGAGACACGGCCCAGACUCCUACGGGAGGCAGCAGUGGGGAAUAUUGGACAAUGGGCGAAAGCCUGAUCCAGCAAUGCCGCGUGAGUGAUGAAGGCCUUAGGGUUGUAAAGCUCUUUUACCCGAGAUGAUAAUGACAGUAUCGGGAGAAUAAGCCCCAGCUAACUCCGUGCCAGCAGCCGCGGUAAU
rnacentral:rRNA from 1 species